GUAUCCUCACCUUAAGAAUAUAGGCUUUGGUGUCCUGUGUUAUGGUUUUUGUGUCUUUGUUGUGCACUGAAACAAACUGGCAGAAAUGGUCUCAAUUAAUGCUGUGAAAAAAUCAUGUACUUGCUCCUUCCCAUCCUUACCACUAAACCUAAUACCACUGAGGCUAAAAAUGCUUUAAAAGAACUGCUUAGAAGAUGCCUUAAAAGAAGUGCUUAGCCCACAAUGGGUUUUCAACAAAUAGUAAAUGAUUGACAAAGUGACAGAAUGCCGAAGUUCUUGAACAAUGAUUUAAAUUCAGAAGAAGAAAACUUUUCUUCUAGAUAUGAUAUCUGUUGGGAGCAAGGCUACAUAAUUCUAGGGAUAAAUCAUUUGGUUAGCCUAGUUCUCUUGCCUACAGCCCAGCUACAGAAUAACUCCAGUUUGGCCUCCGGUCACAACUGAGACUUCACUGAUCCAGUGAUGUUGUGAUUCUCCAGGACAAGAAACAUCCUGGGAGAACAAACAUCUGCUCAGUUCCUCAUUGUUCUUGGACUGAUUAACAUCUUGUUUGCCGGAGAUGUACUGAACUCUCUGCAAGCCUUCCGUUACACCUUGUUUAUCCCAAUGUGAACUAUUGAACUCUCUGCAAGUCAUUUGUUACAUUUGUUUCUCCCGAUGUACUGAAUAAAAGGUGUGGUAAGCUGGGGGCUUUGUCUUUGCUGCCCAGAGCAGCACUGAUCAGAACCAAAGCUCAG
rnacentral:lncRNA from 1 species